rnacentral:rRNA from 1 species
GACGAACGCUGGCGGCGUGCCUAAUAAAUGCAAGUAGAACGCAGUUGCGAACGGGUGAGUAACGCGUAGGUAACUGCCUCAUAGCGGGGGAUAACUAUUGGAAACGAUAGCUAAUACCGCAUACUGUGAGAUGGACCUGCGUUGUAUUAGGUAGUUGGGGGGGGAAAAGCGCACCAAGGCGACGAUACAUAGCCGACCUGAGAGGGGGCUAGGCCACACUGGGGCUGAGACACGGCCCAGAGCCCUACUGGAGGCAGAAGUAGGGAGUCUUCGGCAAUGGGCGGAAGUCUGACCGCGCGACGCCGCGUGAGUGUGGAAGUUUUUCGGAUCUUAAAGCUCUGUUGUGACAGAAGCGGUAACUAGCAAGAAAGGGACGGCUAACUACGGGGCAGGAGGCGCGGUAAUAC